GCGAGUGAAGAGGAAAGAGCUCAAAGUUGGAACCUGUUUGGCUUAGCUAAACCGGAUUGUAAACUGUAGAAGUGUUUUCCAGACACGCCUGGUAAAAAAGUCCUUUGGAACAGGGCAUCAUAGAGGGUGAGAAUCCCGUCUUUGGCCAGAGCUGUUGUCUUUUGUGAUACAUUUUCAAAGAGUCAGGUUGUUUGGGAAUGCAGCCUAAAUUGGGUGGUAAAUCUCACCUAAAGCUAAAUAUUUGCGAGAGACCGAUAGCGAACAAGUACCGUGAGGGAAAGAUGAAAAGAACUUUGAAAAGAGAGUUAAACAGUAUGUGAAAUUGUUAAAAGGGAACCGUUUGGAGCCAGACUGGCUUGACUGUAAUCAAUCUAGGCUUCGGCCUGGAUGCACUUGCGGUUUAUGCCUGCCAACGACAAUUUUUUUUGAGGGAAAAAACUAUUAGGAAUGUGGCCCCCCUCGGGGGGUGUUAUAGCCUUUUAGAAAAUACCUUGAAUUGGAUUGAGGAACGCAGUGAAUGCCUUUAGGCAAGAUUGCUGGGCGCUUUCGCUAAUAAAUGCUAGAAUUUCUGCUUCGGGUGGUGCUAGUGUUUAAAGGAGAAACUCGUCUGGUAUAUU
rnacentral:rRNA from 1 species